rnacentral:snoRNA from 1 species
CAGGCCAGCUGGGGCUACAGGGAGACCCUGUCUCAAAAAGACCAAAAAAAUGUAGGUAGUGUGCCACACGGGGGGCAGGUUUUCGCUAACACUCCACUCUGGCCUGUGAGUGGAGUUUGAUAGUAACUUUUGCUACAUGU